rnacentral:lncRNA from 1 species
CCCAAUAAAGCGGAAGCGUUCCAGAAACCUCUCCGGAGUCUGCGUGGAGAUUCUGCACCUUGCUCUCCCAGCCUGGAUCCCUGAACCUUGUCAUGCAAGAAGGCUCACGGACGAAAACAGCAAUUGGCACCUGAACAGGGGACCCGCUUAUACUGGGUAAAUAUUGAAGUUUCAGAUCUACUGCCCGUGACAUCUCAGCUAUUUAAUAACUCCACUGUUCCAGCCAAGCCUCCCCCAGGAGCACUUCGGGCCUCCUGUCCACCGGCGAAGCUCUCUGAAGGAGCCAUGAGAAGCCGCAGGUGCGAGAAAUCUGAGGAUCCCCUCUCCGAGGAGCCUCUCUUUGGGCAGGGUUUCCGCCAAAUACAAACAUCACAGCGAGUCCUCACCCGCCACACUCACUGAUCUGACACCACGUGAAGGAGCCUGGCUCUUGAGGCAAAACGACCACGAAAGGUCAACAUUACGAAUGUGCUCAGUCAUGACAGUGCAACUAAGACAAGGAGGAGAACGUCCACGACCGCUUUAGAAAGUGCCAACAAUGACAGCGUCAGUGUGCUCGAAGCAAGGGGCAGUAUUUUAAGAGGGCAUUGUGACAGUGUGUCUUUUACUUCAAUAACUUUCUGAUAUUUGAACAUUCACUGUGUUUUUGAUUAUGUCUCAUUUCACUUAAUCAUACUACUCUAGUCAAUAAUGGUUACAAGUAAAGCUCAAUUCUCUAACCAAAAAUAACUCUUCAAUACGGUAGGC